GGCCCAAGUGAGUGCCGAAGUGCAAAUUUGGCGAGGAACUUUGAUAUGUUCGUGGGCUG
rnacentral:tRNA from 1 species